AGAGUUUGAUCAUGGCUCAGGACGAACGCUGGCGGCGUGCUUAACACGUGCAAGUCGAACGGAAAGGCCCCUUCGGGGGUACUCGAGUGGCGAACGGGUGAGUAACACGUGGGUGAUCUGCCCUGCACUCUGGGAUAAGCCUGGGAAACUGGGUCUAAUACCGGAUAUUCCCUUCUGGUCGCAUGGCCUGGGAGGGGAAAGCUUUUGCGGUGUGGGAUGGGCCCGCGGCCUAUCAGCUUGUUGGUGGGGUGAUGGCCUACCAAGGCGACGACGGGUAGCCGGCCUGAGAGGGUGUCCGGCCACACUGGGACUGAGAUACGGCCCAGACUCCUACGGGAGGCAGCAGUGGGGAAUAUUGCACAAUGGGCGCAAGCCUGAUGCAGCGACGCCGCGUGGGGGAUGACGGCCUUCGGGUUGUAAACCCCUUUCAGUAGGGACGAAGCGUAAGUGACGGUACCUACAGAAGAAGCACCGGCCAACUACGUGCCAGCAGCCGCGGUAAUACGUAGGGUGCGAGCGUUGUCCGGAAUUACUGGGCGUAAAGAGCUCGUAGGUGGUUUGUCGCGUUGUUCGUGAAAACUCACAGCUUAACUGUGGGCGUGCGGGCGAUACGGGCAGACUGGAGUACUGCAGGGGAGACUGGAAUUCCUGGUGUAGCGGUGGAAUGCGCAGAUAUCAGGAGGAACACCGGUGGCGAAGGCGGGUCUCUGGGCAGUAACUGACGCUGAGGAGCGAAAGCGUGGGGAGCGAACAGGAUUAGAUACCCUGGUAGUCCACGCCGUAAACGGUGGGUACUAGGUGUGGGUUUCCUUCCUUGGGAUCCGUGCCGUAGCUAACGCAUUAAGUACCCCGCCUGGGGAGUACGGCCGCAAGGCUAAAACUCAAAGGAAUUGACGG
rnacentral:rRNA from 1 species